rnacentral:rRNA from 1 species
CGCUGGCGGUGUGCUUAACACAUGCAAGUCGAACGAAGAUAUUUAAAAUGAGAGCUUCGGCAGGAUUUUUAUCUAUCUUAGUGGCGGACGGGUGAGUAACGUGUGGGCAACCUGCCCUGUACUGGGGAAUAAUCAUUGGAAACGAUGACUAAUACCGCAUGUGGUCCUCGGAAGGCAUCUUCUGAGGAAGAAAGGAUUUAUUCGGUACAGGAUGGGCCCGCAUCUGAUUAGCUAGUUGGUGAGAUAACAGCCCACCAAGGCGACGAUCAGUAGCCGACCUGAGAGGGUGAUCGGCCACAUUGGGACUGAGACACGGCCCAAACUCCUACGGGAGGCAGCAGUGGGGAAUAUUGCACAAUGGGCGAAAGCCUGAUGCAGCAACGCCGCGUGAAGGAUGAAGGGUUUCGGCUCGUAAACUUCUAUCCAUAGGGAAGAAAGAAAUGACGGUACCUAAAUAAGAAGCCCCGGCUAACUACGUGCCAGCAGCCGCGGUAAUACGUACGGGGCAAGCGUUAUUCGGAAUUACUGGGUGUAAAGGGAGCGUAGGCGGCAUGGUAAGCCAAAUUUGAAAGCCUUGGGCUCAACCCGAGGAUUGCCUUUGGAACUAUCAAGUUAGAGUACAGGAGCAGAAAAGCGGGAAUUCCUAGUGUAGCGUGGAAAUGGUUAGAUAUUAGGAAGAACACCAGUGGCGAAGGCCGUCUUUCUGGACUGAAACUGACGCUGAGGCUCGAAAGCGUGGGGAGCAAACAGGAUUAGAUACCCUGGUAGUCCACGCCGUAAACGAUGAGUGCUAGGUGUCGGGGAGGAAUCCUCGGUGCCGCAGCUAACGCAAUAAGCACUCCACCUGGGGAGUACGACCGCAAGGUUGAAACUCAAAGGAAUUGACGGGGGCCCGCACAAGCGGUGGAGCAUGUGGUUUAAUUCGAAGCAACGCGAAGAACCUUACCAAGGCUUGACAUCCCGAUGACCGUCCUAGAGAUAGGACUUCUCUUCGGAGCGUCGGUGACAGGUGGUGCAUGGUUGUCGUCAGCUCGUGUCGUGAGAUGUUGGGUUAAGUCCCGCAACGAGCGCAACCCUUAUCUUCAGUAGCCAUCAUUCAGUUGGGCACUCUGGAGAGACUGCCGUGGAUAACACGGAGGAAGGUGGGGAUGACGUCAAAUCAUCAUGCCCCUUAUGUCUUGGGCUACACACGUGCUACAAUGGCUGGUAACAAAGUGACGCAAGACGGUGACGUUAAGCAAAUCACAAAAACCCAGUCCCAGUUCGGAUUGUAGUCUGCAACUCGACUACAUGAAGCUGGAAUCGCUAGUAAUCGCGAAUCAGCAUGUCGCGGUGAAUACGUUCCCGGGCCUUGUACACACCGCCCGUCACACCAUGGGAGUUGGAAGCACCCGAAGUCGGUGACCUAACCGUAAGGAAGGAGCCGCCGAAGGUGAAGCCAG